rnacentral:rRNA from 1 species
UACGAAGGGGGCUAGCGUUGCUCGGAAUCACUGGGCGUAAAGGGUGCGUAGGCGGGUCUUUCAGUCAGGGGUGAAAUCCUGGAGCUCAACUCCAGAACUGCCUUUGAUACUGAGGAUCUUGAGUUCGGGAGAGGUGAGUGGAACUGCGAGUGUAGAGGUGAAAUUCGUAGAUAUUCGCAAGAACACCAGUGGCGAAGGCGGCUCACUGGCCCGAUACUGACGCUGAGGCACGAAGGCGUGGGGAGCGAACGGG